GUGGUGUAAUGGUUCAGCGCAUCUGGCUGUUAACCAGAAGGUUGGUGGUUCGAGCCUACCCCGGCA